UGAGUACGAGAUGCUACGGCAUCGAAGCAGUCUAUGUCAUACUUCCAAGAAAAGCUUGCAAUGUCAUAAACAAAUAAUGCCUGUACCAUAACCGACACAGGUGGGUAGGUAGAGUAUACUAAGGGGCGCGAGAUAACCCUCUCUAAGGAACUCGGCAAAAUGACUCCGUAACUUCGGGAGAAGGAGUGCCUUAUUUUUAUAAGGUUGCAAUAACAAGAUCCAAGCAACUGUUUACCAAAAACACAGGUCUCCGCUAAGUCGUAAGACGAUGUAUGGGGGCUGACGCCUGCCCAGUGCCAGAAGGUUAAAGAAGUUGGUUAGCAUUAGCGAAGCUGAUAACUGAAGCCCUGGUGAACGGCGGCCGUAACUAUAACGGUCCUAAGGUAGCGAAAUUCCUUGUCGGGUAAGUUCCGACCCGCACGAAAGGCGUAAUGAUUUGGAUACUGUCUCGGAGAGGGGCUCGGCGAAAUAGACUUGUCUGUGAAGAUGCGGACUACCUGCACCUGGACAGAAAGACCCUAUGAAGCUUUACUGUAACUUGAGAUUGAAAUUGGACUUUAUCUGCGCAGUAUAGGUGGGAGACGUUGAGAAUAUUCUUGCGGGAAUAUUGGAGUCAUCAGUGAGAUACCACUCUUAUAAUGUUAGAUUUCUAACUUUGUAUCAUUAUCUGGUCAAAGAACAGUUUCAGGCGGGCAGUUUGACUGGGGCGGUCGCCUCCCAAACGGUAACGGAGGCGCACAAAGGUUUCCUCUGAACGUGUAGAAAUCGUAUCUAGAGUGUAAAGGCAUAAGGAAGCUUGACUGUGAGACCUACAAGUCGAGCAGGGACGAAAGUCGGUCUUAGUGAUCUGACGGUGCUGAGUGGAAAGGCCGUCACUCAACGGAUAAAAGUUACUCUAAGGAUAACAGGCUGAUCUCCCCCAAGAGUUCACAUCGACGGGGAGGUUUGGCACCUCGAUGUCGGCUCAUCGCAUCCUGGGGCGGUAGUACGUCCCAAGGGUUGGGCUGUUCGCCCAUGAAAGCGGUACGCGAGCUGGGUUCAGAACGUCGUGAGACAGUUCGGUCCAUAUCCGGUGUAGGCGUUAGAAUAUUGAGAGGAGCCUUCUUUAGUACGAGAGGACCGAGAAGGACAUACCUCUGGUGUACCAGUUAUCGUGCCAACGGUAAACGCUGGGUAGCCAUGUAUGGAGAGGAUAACCGCUGAAAGCAUCUAAGUGGGAAGCCCACCUCAAGAUAAGUAUUCUCAUC
rnacentral:rRNA from 1 species